GAACGUUUUAGGUUUUUUUAUCUCUGCUCAGGACGAACGCUGGCGGCGUGCCUAAUACAUGCAAGUCGAGCGGACAGAAGGGAGCUUGCUCCCGGAUGUUAGCGGCGGACGGGUGAGUAACACGUGGGUAACCUGCCUGUAAGACUGGGAUAACUCCGGGAAACCGGAGCUAAUACCGGAUAGUUCCUUGAACCGCAUGGUUCAAGGAUGAAAGACGGUUUCGGCUGUCACUUACAGAUGGACCCGCGGCGCAUUAGCUAGUUGGUGAGGUAACGGCUCACCAAGGCGACGAUGCGUAGCCGACCUGAGAGGGUGAUCGGCCACACUGGGACUGAGACACGGCCCAGACUCCUACGGGAGGCAGCAGUAGGGAAUCUUCCGCAAUGGACGAAAGUCUGACGGAGCAACGCCGCGUGAGUGAUGAAGGUUUUCGGAUCGUAAAGCUCUGUUGUUAGGGAAGAACAAGUGCAAGAGUAACUGCUUGCACCUUGACGGUACCUAACCAGAAAGCCACGGCUAACUACGUGCCAGCAGCCGCGGUAAUACGUAGGUGGCAAGCGUUGUCCGGAAUUAUUGGGCGUAAAGGGCUCGCAGGCGGUUUCUUAAGUCUGAUGUGAAAGCCCCCGGCUCAACCGGGGAGGGUCAUUGGAAACUGGGAAACUUGAGUGCAGAAGAGGAGAGUGGAAUUCCACGUGUAGCGGUGAAAUGCGUAGAGAUGUGGAGGAACACCAGUGGCGAAGGCGACUCUCUGGUCUGUAACUGACGCUGAGGAGCGAAAGCGUGGGGAGCGAACAGGAUUAGAUACCCUGGUAGUCCACGCCGUAAACGAUGAGUGCUAAGUGUUAGGGGGUUUCCGCCCCUUAGUGCUGCAGCUAACGCAUUAAGCACUCCGCCUGGGAGUACUCCAGC
rnacentral:rRNA from 1 species